CUUCCUCCAACUUCUUCUCUGUUAGAUCCUUCAGUUAAGUUCUCUGCCUAUUCAGAAAAUCACAUGUCAGAUCCUACACUUUCCAGGCAUCUCAUUAGUAAGCUCAAUUAUUUGACUCAUACUAAACCAGAUCUGUGUUUUGCUGUUUUGACUCUCAGUUAAUUUAUGCAACCUCCUAGCAUCGAACAUUUCAAAGAAGGAUUGCGAGUCGUAAGUUACUUGAAAGCAUAUCUGAAUCAUGGCAUCUUUCUCAAUGUUUCACCCUCCUUCUCUCUCGCUGCUUAUUGCGAUGCAGACUGGGCCGUACUACGCGAAGGUCAGUCAGUAGAUCUUUUAUAAGCUUGGGAGGUUCACCAGUCUCCUGGAAAUCAAAUAAACAAUCUUCCAUUUCUCUUUCUUCCAUUUCUCUUUCAUCUGCAGAGGCUGAAUAUCGAUCAAUGAGGAGAUUAAUUGCGGAAUUGACCUGAAUGACAAGAUUGCUUACCGAUCUAUCCAUUCUUCCCCCUCUUUCUGUUCCAGUUUACUCCAACAGUCAAGCAGCCCUACAUAUAGCUCGAAAUCCGAUUUUUCAUGAGCGAACAAAGCACAUUGAGAUUGACUGUCACUUAGUUCGUUAACAAUAUCUCUCAGGCUUGAUAUAUCUUUCCUUUGUUCCAUCUAAGGACAAAUUCGUCGACAUUUUCACCAAAUCCCUUCCCAGACCUCCUCACCAUCAGAGUUUGUGCAAGUUGGGUGUCACUUCUUUCCCCUCCAACUUGAGGGGGAUGUUAGAAAUCACGAUGGUUAAUUUGGCUUAAUG
rnacentral:lncRNA from 1 species